ACCGAAUUAACUUAAAGGUAAAAGUAUCUGUUUUGUAAACAGAAAAUACAGGUUCAAAUCCUGUAUUCGGUA
rnacentral:tRNA from 1 species